ACGCUCGACACCUACGGGAGGCGCAGUGGGGAAUAUUGCACAAUGGGGGAAACCCUGAUGCAGCGACGCCGCGUGAGCGAAGAAGUAUUUCGGUAUGUAAAGCUCUAUCAGCAGGGAAGAAAAUGACGGUACCUGACUAAGAAGCCCCGGCUAACUACGUGCCAGCAGCCGUGGUAAUCUGAGCGGGCUGGCAAGGC
rnacentral:rRNA from 1 species